GAGUUUGAUCUUGGCUCAGAUUGAACGCUGGCGGCAUGCCUUACACAUGCAAGUCGAACGGCAGCACGGGAGCUUGCUCCUGGUGGCGAGUGGCGAACGGGUGAGUAAUGCAGUCGGAACGUAUCCUGGAGUGGGGGAUAACGUAGCGAAAGUUACGCUAAUACCGCAUAUUCUGUGAGCAGGAAAGCGGGGGACCUUCGGGCCUACGCGCUCUUGGAGCGGCCGAUGUCGGAUUAGCUAGUUGGUGAGGUAAAGGCUCACCAAGGCGAC
rnacentral:rRNA from 1 species